CAGCAGCCGCGGUAAUACGUAGGUGGCAAGCGUUGUCCGGAUUUACUGGGUGUAAAGGGCGUGUAGGCGGGAUGGUAGGUCAGAUGUGAAAUACCCAGGCUUAACUUGGGGGCUGCAUUUGAAACCACCGUUCUUGAGUGUCGGAGAGGGAAGCGGAAUUCCUAGUGUAGCGGUGAAAUGCGUAGAUAUUAGGAGGAACACCAGUGGCGAAGGCGGCUUUCUGGACGAUAACUGACGCUGACGCGCGAAAGCGUGGGGAGCAAACAGGAUUCGAUACCCUGGUAGUCCACGCCGUAAACGAUGGAUACUAGGUGUAGGGGGUAUCGACCCCCGCUGUGCCGCAGUUAACACAAUAAGUAUCCCACCUGGGGAGUACGGCCGCAAGGUUGAAACUCAAAGGAUUGACGGGGCCCGCACAAGCAGUGGAGUAUGUGGUUUAAUUCGAAGCAACGCGAAGAACCUUACCAGGGCUUGACAUCCCUCUGACCGCUCUAGAGAUAGGGCUUCCCUUCUUGGGCAGAGGAGACAGGUGGUGCAUGGUUGUCGUCAGCUCGUGUCGUGAGAUGUUGGGUUAAGUCCCGCAACGAGCGCAACCCUUAUUGUUAGUUGCCAUCAUUCAGUUGGGCACUCUAGCAAGACUGCCGGUGACAAAUCGGAGGAAGGUGGGGACGACGUCAAAUCAUCAUGCCCCUUAUGUCCUGGGCUACACACGUACUACAAUGGCCGUAACAAUGGGAAGCAAAGCCGCGAGGUGGAGCAAAUCCCCAAAAACGGUCCCAGUUCGGAUUGCAGGCUGAAACUCGCCUGUAUGAAGUUGGAAUUGCUAGUAAUCGCGAAUCAGCAUGUCGCGGUGAAUACGUUCCCGGGCCUUGUACACACCGCCCGUCACACCAUGAGAGUUGGCAACACCCGAAGCCUGUAGUCUGACCGUAAGGAGGACGCAGUCGAAGGUGGGGUCGAUGAUUGGGGUG
rnacentral:rRNA from 1 species